rfam:Candidatus Doudnabacteria bacterium RIFCSPHIGHO2_01_FTLL_45_18 rifcsphigho2_01_scaffold_4458, whole genome shotgun sequence.
GCCCCCUUAGUUCAGUGGCAGAACAGCGGUAUCGUAAACCGUAGACGGUAGUUCGAUUCUACCCGGGGGCU